rnacentral:rRNA from 1 species
UACAGAGGUCUCAAGCGUUGUUCGGAUUCAUUGGGCGUAAAGGGUGCGUAGGCGGCGCGGAAAGUCGGGUGUGAAAUUUCGGAGCUUAACUCCGAAACUGCAUUCGAUACUUCCGUGCUUGAGGACUGGAGAGGAGACUGGAAUUUACGGUGUAGCAGUGAAAUGCGUAGAGAUCGUAAGGAAGACCAGUGGCGAAGGCGGGUCUCUGGACAGUUCCUGACGCUGAGGCACGAAGGCCAGGGGAGCAAACAGG